rnacentral:rRNA from 1 species
UACGUAGGGUGCAAGCGUUAAUCGGAAUUACUGGGCGUAAAGCGUGCGCAGGCGGUUUGUUAAGACGGAUGUGAAAGCCCCGGGCUCAACCUGGGAAUUGCAUUCGAGACUGCUCUGCUAGGGUGCGGAAGAGGGAAGCGGAAUUUCCGGUGUAGCGGUGAAAUGCGUAGAUAUCGGAAGGAACACCAGUGGCGAAAGCGGCUUCCUGGUCCAGCACCGACGUUCAGGCACGAAAGCGUGGGGAGCAAACAGG